rnacentral:rRNA from 1 species
GACGAACGCUGGCGGCGUGCUUAACACAUGCAAGUCGAACGGAAAGGCCCUGCUUUUGUGGGGUGCUCGAGUGGCGAACGGGUGAGUAACACGUGAGUAACCUGCCCUUGACUUUGGGAUAACUUCAGGAAACUGGGGCUAAUACCGGAUAGGAGCUCCUGCUGCAUGGUGGUGGUUGGAAAGUUUCGGCGGUUGGGGAUGGACUCGAGGCUUAUCAGCUUGUUGGUGGGGUAGUGGCUUACCAAGGCUUUGACGGGUAGCCGGCCUGGGAGGGUGACCGGCCACAUGAGGACUGAGAUACGGCCCAGAAUCCUACGGGCGGCAGCAGGGGGGAAUAUUGCACAAUGGGCGGAAGCCUGAUGCAGAAACGCCGCGUGCGGGAUGACGGCCUUCGGGUUGUAAACCGCUUUCUCCUGUGACGAAGCGUGAGUGACGGUAAUGGGUAAAGAAGCACCGGCUAACUACGUG